rnacentral:lncRNA from 1 species
AGGCCGGUAUAAACUUGCGGCUCAGAUCAAGCUAUGCCUGAUGCUGCCUUAAGCCUUAUGAGGUCGCCAAGGAACCGCAGGUGAGGAUUCAGGAGAUAAUUCUGCAAACAGAACUUCCUGAGAACUGAGAUGGGGGAAAUCGCUGGUAUUAGAAGAGUGAAAAGAAACUCCUGGAGGGCAGAGGCAUGCCUGCCAUCUUCAUCAAUGCAUUACCACCACCCAACACUAUCGGGGGACCUGCCCUGAUAAUCAGUGACUGGCUCAAAACAAGUCUGUGAUUCCAUUCUGACUGUUCUACUGAGGGAAUUCCCCCUUCUUCUCAUGCGGAGCUGAUGAGGGUAAGUUGUAUUAAUAGGACAUAGGCUUAGGUUUUCUGAAAAAUACUUUUAUCUAGAAAUGCAUAGGAAUAUGCUGGUGCCUGAAUGUACCAUCUGGGGGCCUGGAGAUUGACUCACCUGCCUCCAGAGCUAGUGCUCACACUUACUACUGAGAGGCCUGAGGAAACGCCUCCCUUCCCACCACCAGAACCUGCAUACGUCACCUGGAAAACUAGAGAUCAGCCUGCCACACACACUACCCAGGAGCCCAGUGGUGCACCUGCCCACCUGGCCCAGUGCUGCCACUGCCAGCAACCAAAGAAGCCACCUGGAGGCCCAGGGAUUGGCCCACACAGACAGGCUAUCAUCAGUGCCCACAAACACUGCCCAUGGUCCCUUGUAUUGACACACCAGGUCUACCACCACUACCACUGAUGGUGAAGGACAAGACUUCCUGGCAUCCCCAUCAGCAAAGUCUCACCACAGCCUCCAAUAACAACUACAGUCUGGCCAAGUGUGGUGGCUCACGCCUGUAAUCC